AUUGAACGCUGGCGGCAUGCUUUACACAUGCAAGUCGAACGGUAACAGGCCGCAAGGUGCUGACGAGUGGCGAACGGGUGAGUAAUGCAUCGGAACGUGCCCAGUCGUGGGGGAUAACGCAGCGAAAGCUGUGCUAAUACCGCAUACGAUCUGUGGAUGAAAGCGGGGGACCGUAAGGCCUCGCGCGAUUGGAGCGGCCGAUGUCAGAUUAGGUAGUUGGUGGGGUAAAGGCUCACCAAGCCAACGAUCUGUAGCUGGUCUGAGAGGACGACCAGCCACACUGGGACUGAGACACGGCCCAGACUCCUACGGGAGGCAGCAGUGGGGAAUUUUGGACAAUGGGCGCAAGCCUGAUUCAGCAAUGCCGCGUGCAGGAAGAAGGCCUUCGGGUUGUAAAGCACUUUUGUCCGGAAAGAAAUGGCUCUGGUUAAUACCUGGGGUCGAUGACGGUACCGGAAGAAUAAGGACCGGCUAACUACGUGCCAGCCGCCGCCGUAACAC
rnacentral:rRNA from 1 species